AUUGAACGCUGGCGGCAGGCCUAACACAUGCAAGUCGAGCGGAUGAAGGGAGCUUGCUCCUGGAUUCAGCGGCGGACGGGUGAGUAAUGCCUAGGAAUCUGCCUGGUAGCGGGGGAUAACGUCCGGAAACGGGCGCUAAUACCGCGUACGUCCUGAGGGAGAAAGUGGGGGAUCUUCGGACCUCACGCUAUCAGAUGAGCCUAGGUCGGAUUAGCUAGUUGGUGGGGUAAAGGCCUACCAAGGCGACGAUCCGUAACUGGUCUGAGAGGAUGAUCAGUCACACUGGAACUGAGACACGGUCCAGACUCCUACGGGAGGCAGCAGUGGGGAAUAUUGGACAAUGGGCGAAAGCCUGAUCCAGCCAUGCCGCGUGUGUGAAGAAGGUCUUCGGAUUGUAAAGCACUUUAAGUUGGGAGGAAGGGCAGUAAGUUAAUACCUUGCUGUUUUGACGUUACCAACAGAAUAAGCACCGGCUAACUUCGUG
rnacentral:rRNA from 1 species